rnacentral:rRNA from 1 species
AGCAGCCGCGGUAAUUCCAGCUCCAAUAGCGUAUAUUAAAGUUGCUGCAGUUAAAAAGCUCGUAGUUGAAUUUCGGGGUCAAUAUGUUGGUCGUGCCUUGGUACGUACUAGCUUAUUGAUUUCUCCUUUCUGACGAACCAUGAUGUCAUUAAUUUGGUGUCAUGGGGAAUCAGGACUGUUACUUUGAAAAAUUAGAGUGUUUAAAGCAGGCUCGCGCUUGAAUACAUUAGCAUGGAAUAAUGAAAUAGGACAUUUGAUUCUAUUUUGUUGGUUUCUAGGAUCGAUGUAAUGAUUAAUAGGGAUAGUUGGGGGCAUUAGUAUUCAAUUGUCAGAGGUGAAAUUCUUGGAUUUAUUGAAGACUAACUACUGCGAAAGCAUUUGCCAAGGAUGUUUUCAUUAAUCAAAACGAAAGUUAGGGGAUCGAAGACGAUCAGAUACCGUCGUAGUCUUAACCAUAAACUAUGCCGACUAGGGAUCGGAUGAUGUUAAUUUUUAAUGA